UACGUAGGGCGCAAGCGUUGUCCGGAAUUAUUGGGCGUAAAGAGCUCGUAGGUGGCGUGUCGCGUCUGCCGUGAAAGCCCAUGGCUUAACUGUGGGUCUGCGGUGGAUACGGGCAGGCUGGAGGCUGGUAGGGGCAAGCGGAAUUCCUGGUGUAGCGGUGAAAUGCGCAGAUAUCAGGAGGAACACCGGUGGCGAAGGCGGCUUGCUGGGCCAGUUCUGACGCUGAGGAGCGAAAGCGCGGGGAGCGAACAGG
rnacentral:rRNA from 1 species